rnacentral:hammerhead_ribozyme from 1 species
GUACUACUGAAGAGUUCCAUACUAGGACGAAACGGCCUUCUAGUAC